UACGGGGGGAGCAAGCGUUGUUCGGAUUUACUGGGCGUAAAGGGCGCGUAGGCGGCGCGACAAGUCGCUUGUGAAAUCUCCGGGCUUAACUCGGAGCGGCCAAGCGAUACUGUCGUGCUAGAGUGCGGAAGGGGCAACUGGAAUUCUCGGUGUAGCGGUGAAAUGCGUAGAUAUCGAGAGGAACACCUGCGGCGAAGGCGGGUUGCUGGGCCGACACUGACGCUGAGGCGCGAAAGCUAGGGGAGCGAACGGG
rnacentral:rRNA from 1 species